rnacentral:rRNA from 1 species
CAGUAGCCGCGGUGAUACGGAGGGUGCAAGCGUUACUCGGAAUCACUGGGCGUAAAGGACGCGUAGGCGGAUUAUCAAGUCUCUUGUGAAAUCUAACGGCUUAACCGUUAAACUGCUUGGGAAACUGAUAAUCUAGAGUAAGGGAGAGGCAGAUGGAAUUCUUGGUGUAGGGGUAAAAUCCGUAGAUAUCAAGAAGAAUACCUAUUGAGAAGGCGAUCUGCUGGAACUUAACUGACGCUAAUGCGUGAAAGCGUGGGGAGCAAACAGGAUUAGAUACCCCAGUAGUCCCUGUCUCUUAUAC